GUUUCCCCCGACUCUCAGAGCACGUUCCGCUCUCCCUUUGCCUCCCCACUUCCCCUCUCCCGGCAGCAGACGGCAAUGUAGAGCAAAGGGGGAAGGGGCCGGCUUCAUCGGCGGUGCUGCGUGAGGGCCUGAUGCCGCGGCGACCCCACGGAGAUGGGAGAUCCUCCGAUCUCCCGCGACCCUCGAUCGAGCGCUCUCCGACCUCGACGCAAUCCGCGUGGUCCGAACCUGCUAGGGGAUCGAGUCUGACCCCCGGCAUCGUCCUCCGCCUUCGCAGACAAGUCCCCGAGGUCUCAGCACUUCUACGCCCUCCUCUAUUCACGCAUGAACGGUGGAGCAAGGAAGGAGUUGUUCGACUAUUAAUCGCGUGGUCUUUCUAAUAAUUUAGGCCGUUUUGGAGGGAGGUUGGGGAGGAGACCUGAGACCGUAGGCUGCGUCGGCUGCCAGGUCGUGCUUGUGUUCUCAUCAGAAAAUUAAUUAAUCUGCUCCUGCCGAGAAAUUUCUUCGCUCUGGCGGCCGCUUAGCCGCCCCCAGGAUCGGGACGUCAUCAACAACCUCCUCGACGACCUUCGAUCGAUGGCCUUCCGCUUGGCGCCUCCGCUCCCUCCGCCCCCCGGAGCCCGACUAGAUGCUAUGCCGCACCCCGCAUGUGCGUGCUUUUUUUGUUUCUUCAGGGCUUGUUGAGCUGUGCCCUCAGCAUGUACCCUUUGACUACUUGUCUAUUGUGUGUGUGUGCGCGUGUGUGAACCUUGUUGGAUGUAUGUCUUGGGCAGUUGCUUUAUAAUCUAAAGCGGGGCGAAAGCCUUUUCCGGUAA